rnacentral:tmRNA from 1 species
GAAGAUAUUUUUCUCAAGGCUUCCUCGUCUACAGAGGUCAGGAAACAUGCACACCAUUCAUGUACAGGCUGAUCUUUGUCAUAUGGGAUAGACAAAAUCUCUGGACUUUGACAGCCCAGUAAAUUGACAGUGCCUAUGGCCAAGUCUUGUAACAAGUUUGAAUCAUUUGCCUCAAGGGAUAGCUUCAUGUAGUCGAGUAUGCGCUGAAAUUUGGAGGUAGUGGACAACCUCUCCAAUAGUGUUAGGUGUCUGAUAAUUAGUUCCCUCAAGUGGGGCAACAAAAAUGGCUCUGUAUCCAAGUUGUGGCGCAGUGUCUGACAAAUUUUACACAGCACCUGAAGCUUACACAAACAGGCACUUACUCUAUUAUGUUCCCUAGUAUCUAUGACACAAAAGGUGUGGACCACGCUUUCCAGAGAAGGAUAAUAAAAUUCAUCCCCCAUGUUUUCUGUUCUUAUAGGACUGGCACGGAUCGAAGCAGGUCUACUUGAGCCAGUUGAUUGGAGUCUCUGCUGAAACAAAAGAGGAAUUUCAGCAACUGGUAGAUCUAUUUAUAUGCUUCCUACAGCACCCUGAAGAUGGUUUGAAUGCUCUGCAGUAUGUCAAGAAUUUGGAACUUGCUCUUCGGCGUCUGCAGUCAGACAGUCUCAAACAUGGGCCUUUGUCUGGGUUAAUAUUUGACCUGAACUUCUACAAUGUCUGGGUAAUGUUCAGAAACCAGAAGGUGAGGUUUAAUGCCAAAGUCCAUAACAGGCAUCCAUGUGGGUACAUAUCUCACCACCUGAUCAAAUAUGCCAUUGAAAGAGUUGUCUAUACCACAGACAGGCUGUUUCUGACUGCCCCAUGUUCGGGGGUACAGCUACCUCAACCUCUGGCCUGCAGUCUGUUCGAAAUACUCAAGGAUGUUAGAGGAAAAUGCACAACGGCCUGGAGGCGCUUAGGGGCAGGCCGCAGACAUUUAAUGACAUUUGGGCGCAAUGUGUUGGAUGAAUUUAAUUCUGAGAAGAAGUCACCUGGUGGCAUAUCCAGAGAAGUUGAGGCAUUUAUAAAGAUAUGCUUUCCACAAAUGGACUUAAAUAAAAUUUUAAUUCCAAUUUAUCAGCACGCCAUCAACAUCCCACCAGACUGUGUACCCAGCUGUACUAUUGGAGAUGGAAACAGAAAACGAGCCCCCCACGGUUCGCUAUACAGUAAAGACAUAUCCUCACAAAAGUUCUGCAUCCCAGACCCCCUGUUUGCUUCUCCCACAGAACCAGGGUUGGGGGAGUUGCAUAGGGGUAAUAUGGCACAUUUGCUGCAGAACCCAGAAGAAAUCAUUAACCUGGACCCUCUACACAAUACCACUGAACCCUGUUUGUAUCAAAUGUUUUCAGAGGCGGUGACAAACCCCUCUAAAAAAAGAUGGCUUUCUUCUUUCAACAUGGUCUUUUCAGGACUGUCUCCGAGAGCUCGGCCAGAGACCACUUAUGAACCAUUGGGGCCAUUUUCACCCAUUAGCCCUGGCCCUUCUUCCGCCACAGAAGAGUUCCAGUUUGAAUUUAGCCCUUCUCCUCAAACCUCCCCAGAAACAAGCGAGCAGAGCUACAUACCUACUCCCAACUCAGCUAUGGGCGGAUCCUUUGAGUACACAGGCGCCGUUCAACCACAACUAAUUCCAGAUAAUCACACCUGUUCCGCAAAGAGAUUAAGGGAGAGCGAUGAGGAGGUAAAUUAUUCUUCAGACGGUAGUCCAAACAAGAAACCCACAGCUCGCACUUCUGGGCACGAACAGGCUUAUGGUUUUCUGGCCGAGUUGCUCUCUAGCCACAGGGAUACGCCUGUCCAGCAUAUUGUGCAAUCUGGCUCAACGCCCGCCCCGCCAAUUGUUGAGCCUCAGGGACAAGAUUUUGUUGGAAAACAGGAUGAGACAUGUUCCAACGUGUUCCCAGAACAAAUUACUCAGGAAGCGUGUCCCGGAUCAUCUGAGGACGCGUUCAUCGAUGAUGCUAUAAAGGAAAUAUUUGCAUCGCUGGACUCUAUGGCAAACCAGGACACUGCUGACAGUGACACAUGUUCCAUACUUGACCCCCAAUCACCCACUCCCCCACCCUCCGUUCCCCCAAUAACUACACUCUCGUUGUAUGACAUUUAUGCCAGCAUACUUAGUCCACUCGACCCAAACAGCCUGGAGUCAUAAACGGUGCCAAAUACAAGACAUUUCUAAAUCCUUAAGUAUAAUGUUUAUAUUUAACUGAAUAAAAGAAGUGACGCUAUAAAACCCUCAA